rnacentral:misc_RNA from 1 species
AAAUAAUGCUGCAUAUGGAGAUGGCAUGGCUUUCUUUAUGGCACCUCAAGGUUCGAAAAUUCCUGCCCGACUGAAGCACGGCAGCACUCUUGGUCUAACAAGUGAUGGAGAGGAAUUGAACUCUACAAGAAAUCCAUUCGUGGCGAUAGAAUUCGACAUAUUUAGAGACAAUUGGGAUCCACCCAACGACCAUGUUGGCAUUGAUGCCAACUCAAUGAAGUCGGUCAAAAAUGAGAAAUGGUGGAGUGAUAUUAGGAAGGGGAAACUAAAUGAUGCGUGGAUAUCAUAUAAUUCUAGCACAAAAACUUUGAGUGUUGUGUUCACCGGAAUUGUAGAUAACCUGCCAGUGGAACAAUCCUUUGAUUAUGCACUGGAUUUGAGAU